rnacentral:rRNA from 1 species
CCUACGGGCGGCAGCAGUGAGGAAUAUUGGUCAAUGGACGAGAGUCUGAACCAGCCAAGUAGCGUGAAGGAUGACUGCCCUAUGGGUUGUAAACUUCUUUUAUCUGGGAAUAAAAUGUUCCACGUGUGGGAUUUUGUAUGUACCAUAUGAAUAAGGAUCGGCUAACUCCGUGCCAGCAGCCGCGGUAAUACGGAGGAUCCGAGCGUUAUCCGGAUUUAUUGGGUUUAAAGGGAGCGUAGGUGGAUUGUUAAGUCAGUUGUGAAAGUUUGCGGCUCAACCGUAAAAUUGCAGUUGAAACUGGCAGUCUUGAGUACAGUAGAGGUAGGCGGAAUUCGUGGUGUAGCGGUGAAAUGCUUAGAUAUCACGAAGAACUCCGAUUGCGAAGGCAGUUCACUGGACUGCAACUGACACUGAGGCUCGAAAGUGUGGGUAUCAAACAGGAUUAGAUACCCUAGUAGUC